rnacentral:rRNA from 1 species
GCGUUAUCCGGAAUUAUUGGGCGUAAAGAGCUCGUAGGCGGUUUGUCGCGUCUGCCGUGAAAGUCCGGGGCUCAACUCCGGAUCUGCGGUGGGUACGGGCAGACUAGAGUGCAGUAGGGGAGACUGGAAUUCCUGGUGUAGCGGUGAAAUGCGCAGAUAUCAGGAGGAACACCGAUGGCGAAGGCAGGUCUCUGGGCAAUAACUGACGCUGAGGAGCGAAAGCGUGGGGAGCGAACAGG